rnacentral:rRNA from 1 species
UCCUACGGGGGGCAGCAGUGGGGAAUAUUGGACAAUGGGGGGAACCCUGAUCCAGCGACGCCGCGUGAGUGAAGAAGUAUUUCGGUAUGUAAAGCUCUAUCAGCAGGGAAGAAAGAAAUGACGGUACCUGACUAAGAAGCCCCGGCUAACUACGUGCCAGCAGCCGCGGUAAUACGUAGGGGGCAAGCGUUAUCCGGAUUUACUGGGUGUAAAGGGAGCGUAGACGGCAGUGCAAGUCUGGAGUGAAAGCCCGGGGCCCAACCCCGGGACUGCUCUGGAAACUGCGUCGCUGGAGGACGGGAGGG